AUGAACGCUGGCGGCGUGCUUAACACAUGCAAGUCAAGGGGCCCGCAAGGGUCACUGGCGCACGGGUGCGGAACACGUAGGCAAUCUGCCCUUUGGGGGAAGAUAACCCGUCGAAAGACGGGCUAAACUUCCGUAAUAUCGUGAGUGGGCAUCUACUUACGAUCAAAUUUUCCAGAGGAUGAGCCUGCGUCUGAUUAGCUAGUUGGUAGUGUAACGGACUACCAAGGCUACGAUCAGUAGCUGGUCUGAGAGGAUGAUCAGCCACAUUGGGACUGAGAUACGGCCCAGACUCCUACGGGAGGCAGCAGUGAGGAAUAUUGCUCAAUGGGGGAAACCCUGAAGCAGCAACGCCGCGUGAGGGAUGAAGGCGCUUGCGUUGUAAACCUCUGUAGUUGGGGACAAACGUAGGGUUACUACCUUAUUGAUGGUACCCAAAAAGUAAGGAUCGGCUAACUACGUGCCAGCAGCCGCGGUAAUACGUAGGAUCCUAGCGUUAUCCGGAUUUACUGGGUGUAAAGGGUGCGCAGGCGGACUUGUAAGUCAGGGGUGAAAUCUCGUCGCUUAACGGCGAAACUGCCUUUGAUACUAUAAGUCUUGAGUUUGGUAGAGAUCCGUGGAAUUCCGAGUGUAGCAGUGAAAUGUGUAGAUAUUCGGAAGAACACCAGCGGCGAAGGCAGCGGAUUGGGCCAAUACUGACGCUCAGGCACGAAAGCAUGGGGAUCAAACAGGAUUAGAUACCCUGGUAGUCCAUGCCCUAAACGAUGUACACUUGAUGUCGGUCUUUUAAACGGGUCGAUGUCGGAGCUAACGUGUUAAGUGUACCACCUGGGGAGUACGCUCGCAAGGGUGAAACUCAAAGGAAUUGACGGGGGCCCGCACAAGCAGUGGAGCAUGUGGUUCAAUUCGAUGCAACGCGAAGAACCUUAACCUAGGCUUGAAAGGCAGUCUAAACCGUUGAAAGACGGGUACCCGCAAGGGGGGCUGUACAGGUGCUGCAUGGCUGUCGUCAGCUCGUGCCGUGAGGUGUUUGGUUAAGUCCAGCAACGAGCGCAACCCUUGGAUUCAGUUGCCAGCACAUAAUGGUGGGAACUCUGGAUCAACUGCCUACGCAAGUAGUGAGGAAGGUGGGGACGACGUCAAGUCAUCAUGGCCCUUACGCCUAGGGCAACACACGUGCUACAAUGGCAUCUACAACGCGCUGCAAGACCGUGAGGUGGAGCGAAUCGCUAAAAAGAUGUCUCAGUUCAGAUCGGAGUCUGCAACUCGGCUCCGUGAAGUUGGAAUUGCUAGUAAUCGGGGGUCAGCGCACCCCGGUGAAUACGUUCCCGGGCCUUGUACACACCGCCCGUCACAUCACGAAAGCUGGCUGUACUAGAAAUCGCUGCGCUAACCCGCAAGGGAGGCAGGUGCUUAAGGUA
rnacentral:rRNA from 1 species